rnacentral:rRNA from 1 species
CUGGCGGCGUGCUUACACAUGCAAGUCGAACGAACCUUCGGGUUAGUGGCGGACGGGUGAGUAACGCGUGAGAAUCUGCCCUCAGGAGGGGGAUAACGGCUGGAAACGGCCGCUAAUACCCCAUAUGCCGAGAGGUGAAAUGAAUUUCGCCUGAGGAUGAGCUCGCGUCUGAUUAGCUAGUUGGUAAGGUAAGAGCUUACCAAGGCAUCGAUCAGUAGCUGGUCUGAGAGGAUGAUCAGCCACACUGGGACCGAGACACGGCCCAGACUCCUACGGGAGGCAGCAGUGGGGAAUUUUCCGCAAUGGGCGAAAGCCUGACGGAGCAACGCCGCGUGAGGGAUGAAGGCCUCUGGGCUGUAAACCUCUUUUCUCAAGGAAGAAGACAUGACGGUACUUGAGGAAUAAGCCACGGCUAAUUCCCUGCCAGCAGCCGCGGUAAUACGGGAGUGGCAAGCGUUAUCCGGAAUUAUUGGGCGUAAAGCGUCCGCAGGCGGCCUUUUAAGUCUGUUGUUAAAGCGUGGAGCUCAACUCCAUUUCGGCAAUGGAAACUGGAAGGCUGGAGUGUGGUAGGGGCAGAGGGAAUUCCCGGUGUAGCGGUGAAAUGCGUAGAUAUCGGGAAGAACACCAGUGGCGAAGGCGCUCUGCUGGGCCAUAACUGACGCUCAUGGACGAAAGCCAGGGGNAGCGAAAGGGAUUAGAUACCCCUGUAGUCCUGGCCGUAAACGAUGAACACUAGGUGUCGGGGGAAUCGACCCCCUCGG